rnacentral:rRNA from 1 species
CCUACGGGCGGCAGCAGUGAGGAAUAUUGGUCAAUGGGCGGGAGCCUGAACCAGCCAAGUCGCGUGAAGGAAGAAGGUACUUAGUAUUGUAAACUUCUUUUGUCGGGGAACAAAGGCGGAGACGCGUCUCCAGAUGAGUGUACCCGAAGAAAAAGCAUCGGCUAACUCCGUGCCAGCAGCCGCGGUAAUACGGAGGAUGCGAGCGUUAUCCGGAUUUAUUGGGUUUAAGGGGUGCGCAGGGGGGGGAUAAAGUCAGUGGUAAAAUGUUGGGGCUAAACCCCGGCCGGCCGUUGAAACUGGUUGUCGAGAGUUCGAGAGAGGUAGGCGGAAUUCGUGGUGUAGCGGUGAAAUGCAUAGAUAUCACGAAGAACUCCGAUUGCGAAGGCAGCAUACCGGCUCCAUACUGACGCUGAGGCACGAAAGCGUGGGGAUCGAACAGGAUUAGAUACCCUUGUAGUC